rnacentral:lncRNA from 1 species
AAAAUAAUGCUAUUUCAAUCAUGAGCCAAUAGAGGACCACCCUUUGCAUUUGGCGGCUGAGUUCUGAUUUGAUCCUUAACCUCUUCAGGUUCAGUGACAAUAUCAUUCCCCAGCUUCCCGAAAACCAGAGUCGCUCCCAGCAUAACCUCAAAAUGGCCGCCGAGGCCUAUGGGAAACGUAGACUUGAAUCCUUCUGGCUCCCGCGCGGCACUAUGGGAAAGGGAUUCCGGGCUCCCUCUGCGCAUGUGUAGCCAUAGCCCCGCCUCCUCCCUCGUCUUCUCUGGACUCCGCGGGAGCCUUUAGCUGAGCCACAGUUCUCUUCACUUGCCCAGGAGCCACAGAAAGUGAACAUCCCUCAGAUACUGUAAACAGUAUAAUGGAUUUUCUAAUAUGAACUUGAAUUCCUGUAUAGACCCUAGUUGCUAAGUGUGGCAUCAGUGUCAUUCAAGGACAUGAUUGUGGAGUUCACCAGGAGGAGUGGUGGCAGAUGGACUGCACAGAGGACACUCUGCAGAGAUGUGAUGAUGCUGGAGAACUACAGCCACCUCGUCCCUGUGGGUGAGCAAACCUCACCAUGUGACUCCUUUUAGACUGCAAAUUCUGUUUUUUCUUUUUUAAAUGUCGAUCACUUUUGUUGAGGUGUAUUUAACAGAAAAUAAAACUCAGUACUUUUCAGUGUACAAGUGAGUGAGUUUUGAAAAAUGAUAAAGUAGAUGACCAUCAUCAAAAUCAUGAUUUGGAAUAAUUCCAUCAUCCCAAAAAUAUCCUUGUACCCCUUUGCGGUGAGUCCCCUCCCUCCGUCCUUACCUCUCAGAACCCUCAGAGCCACCACUGGUCUGCUUUCUAUUGCACUAGUUUUGCCUUUUCUAGAUUUUCAUAUAAAUGAAAUCAUGAAGUAUAGAUUGUCUUUUGUCUGGCUUCUUUCACUCAGCACAAUGAUUUUAAGACUUGUGCAUUUGUGUGAAUCACUAGUUUAUUCUUUCUG